GCAAGUCAAAAGUUCUGGCACAACCGCCACUGACCAUGUUUCUCUGUUGCCGACAUACAUUUGACACACUCCUCUUUCCCAGAGUUGACCGCUGCGCAGCCCUCCACGCUGAGGCCUGCAAAUUCACCGGAAAGUUGCUGCAGAUGUUCACACCUAAGCAGCUGGAGUCCUGACCAAUCCCAGGAUUCAAGCUUACUUGACCUUCCUCGUGGCUGUUUCUUUCUACAUAUCUUCUCACCGUAAACCUUUUAAAGUGUGGAAACAGGAGCACGUGGGUUAAGGCCAUUCCCUACGUCACCGCAGACGUAGCAGCCACUGUAUGGCGUAAACGACAUGUGAGGAAUUUUGGGGG